rnacentral:rRNA from 1 species
UUCUCCAGCCAGAUCACCCUGAACACACCCGAUCUCAGCUAAGCAGGGUCAGGCCUGGUUAGUACUUGGACUUGGACGGAGAAGCAGAUGUUCUGGGGCCUUAGAUGGGAAGUGCAGUGGCUACAGCAU